UAACGAUGAAGCUUUCUAGCUUGCUAGAAGUGGAUUAGUGGCGCACGGGUGAGUAAUGCAUAGGUUAUGUGCCCCAUAGUCUGGGAUAGCCACUGGAAACGGUGAUUAAUACCGGAUACUCCUUACGAAGGAAAGUUUUUCGCUAUGGGAUCAGCCUAUGUCCUAUCAGCUUGUUGGUGAGGUAAUGGCUCACCAAGGCUAUGACGGGUAUCCGGCCUGAGAGGGUGAACGGACACACUGGAACUGAGACACGGUCCAAACUCCUACGGGAGGCAGCAGUAGGGAAUAUUGCUCAAUGGGCGAAAGCCUGAAGCAGCAACGCCGCGUGGAGGAUGAAGGUUUUAGGAUUGUAAACUCCUUUUGUUAGAGAAGAUUAUGACGGUAUCUCACGAAUAAGCACUAC
rnacentral:rRNA from 1 species